rnacentral:lncRNA from 1 species
AUUAGGGGACACGUGUCACCGUGAUUUGGGUGUGGGUGGGGACAGGCUACUUGAACCAGGGGAUGAGGACCACCUGGUGGCAGGCUCAGCUCUGGCCUCGGGAGAGGGGCCUGGGCUGGGCCACACCCCACACGUCCCUCUCCCCUCGAGAGCCGUGAGCGUGGGGCAUGUCUUACAGGAAGCAGAGGCUCUCCGAGCUGCAGCCUCUAUGGGGCUGGGAAUGUUCGGGAUUGUCAGAAGCCUGGGAGUCUUUCCCGGCGGCCCGUAUCUGUGACAACUGGACCCCGGGUAGAACCGGUCCAGGCAGCCAAGGCCAGUCGGGCACGCAGGGUUAACUCUGUAGGAAGCGGUCUCUGCUGUGGUGUUGGGGCUGCUCCCAUUUUGUUGGCAGCAGCUCUGAGACCUGCCUGGUUCCACGUUACUGGAUCAGGAGGGAACGUGGCUAUUGCACGGGGCUUCGUGCUAAGUGAGCUCGGCGGACCGCAGAGCUGCCCGCCAGGAGUCCCAGCAGCCCGCGACCAACAUUGCGGCCCUUCCAUCGUCGGCCUCCUUUCCCCUUUUCCUGAAAGGCCCUGGACCUCCCGAGGACCCAGCGGCCGAAGCAAGGGGAGGGGAGCGGAUACGUGGAGCAAGGACAGCCCGGGCCGGGCGCCGUCUCUGCGUCUUUGCGCGCCGGGUGGCAGGCGGCCCAGGGCAGCGGGAACUGGCAAAGCGGCCCCAGACGCCUCCACCGCCUCCACCGGGAUGCUCGCUUUCCGCUGCUGCCGGAUCUCCCCACCCCGAGGGAGGCGCCCGAGGCCGCUCAGUCCCGGGGCCCGAGGUCCUAGCGAGGCUGCUGAGGCGGGAGCGCUGAGCCCAGCGAGUUCUGAGCACCGUGUCCAGCUCCCCUGGCCGGCCUUCUGGGGGAGCUCACCCGCACCUACCCUGGCCCCUGGGCCUCGGGGUCAGGAAGCUUUCCGGGUUCCGAGGCGUCCCAGCGUGCCAUGGCCUCACACACCCCUCCCUCUGCCGCCUCCAGAGGCCUGGAGAAAGCCCCGGACACAAUCCCUCAAUCCCUCGAGCUGCCCAUGUUCCUAGGGAAAUGGAAGGGUGCUCGUCUCCCGGGCGGGCGGGGGUCCCUUCUUGAGCUGUUCACCGGGCCAGCGCCCCGGCACAGGCACUGCUCUCAGAGGGGCCUUCCCUGAGACAGAAGGUCCCCGGUGUGGCUUCAGUGGCAGCUCGGGUCUCGCCGAAUUCUCUCCCAUUUCUCUCCCCUUUAUUUCCUG